AUUAAAACAAAAGUCGUCUGCA
rnacentral:siRNA from 1 species